CAGCCGCCGCGGGAAUACAGAGGGUGCAAGCGUUAAUCGGAAUUACUGGGCGUAAAGCGCACGUAGGCGGCUUGGUAAGUUAGAGGUGAAAGCCCGGAGCUCAACUCCGGAAUUGCCUUUAAGACUGCCGAGCUAGCAGGUGAGAGAGGUAAGUGGAAUUCCGAGUGUAGAGGUGAAAUUCGUAGAUAUUCGGAAGAACACCAGUGGCGAAGGCGGCUUACUGGCUCAUACUGGACGCUGAGGUGCGAAAGCGUGGGGAGCAAACAGGAUUAGAUACCCCCGUAGUCCCUGUCUCUUAUAC
rnacentral:rRNA from 1 species